GUUUUGGUCCAAUAUCCUUAAUAAAGGGUGAACGACACAACGCCUAUGGAAACGAAGGAAAACGCUCGGGCGGAUACGACGAUUAGACCGCCUAUUCAGAAACUAAGCUCGUCGCGGCACCACGUCAAGCUCCAGGUCCGAUGGCAGCAAACCACACGACGACUGAAACUCAAAUAGUUACUUCACGUUCCGAACUCACCAUCAACUUCAUUCAAGAUCGAACCGUACGCACGCGAAAUGGAAACAACGUCGAAAAGUGAACUCACCGGUUUGAAACUGCGAUUGUAACCAGGUAAGGACUUUUCACUGACUUCGAAUCAUCUCUCUUCUUCUUCUCCUUCUUCGUGUUCUUUGCUUCCCUGAGAUCGUUGUUGCUGUCGUUGCGAUAUCGCGGUUGCGGAGCGCGAACGGUUGCGAUGUGAAGCAAUACUCGAGUUGCAGCAUCGAUGAUGAAGGAUGAAGGAUGAAGGUGAAGCGGAAGGAGUCGUGUCAGUUGCAGAACAAUGAUGAAGGUGAAGCGGAAGGAGUCGUGUCAGUUGCAGAACAAUGAUGAAGGUGAAGCGGAAGGAGUCGUGUCAGUUGCAGAACAAUGAUGAAGGUGAAGCGGAAGGAGUCGUGUCAGUUGCAGAACAAUGAUGAAGGUGAAGCGGAAGGAGUCGUGUCAGUUGCAGAACAAUGAUGAAGGUGAAGCGGAAGGAGUCGUGUCAGUUGCAGAACAAUGAUGAAGGAUGAAGCUGAAGCCGAGAGCGUGAAGAGUGAAACAGAAAUGUGAAAAGUGAAGCAGAAUGAAGAUGGGGAUUGAUUUUGUAAGAUGAUAACCAUCAACUGCAGGUUGCACAUUCAAAUGGAGUUUUGGAAUUGUUAGAGCUUGAGUGGUGACCUUUCAUAGCGGGUUAACUUCCUACAGAUUGGGUGCGUCACGAGCUGAACUGCGAAAACUGCAGGAUCAUGAGUUUGAUGGGUUUUGCAAGGCCAUCUCAAAUAAGGAAUUUGGCUUGAAGAUUACUUGGUCAAGUUAUGGAAUGGGAUUGAUUUUAGCAUGUGAAUAGGGUUGAGAAACAUACAGCAUUUUGUAAUGAAUGCAAUUGUACUUUAAAAUUUAUUGUAUUAAAUGAAAUUUACAUUGAUAAAAGUUUGUAAUGGAUUUAGAGCGGGUUUGGGAUGUUUGUGGGGUUUAAAUUGUGUAUUGCUUUGUAAUUUUGAAAUCUUGAAUUGAUAACAUGGUUUGUGAUUGGAUUGUAAACUUGUAACUUGGAUGAGAAUGUUGUGAAAAUGAAUAUGAAUUGAACUA